UACAGAGGUCUCAAGCGUUGUUCGGAUUCAUUGGGCGUAAAGGGUGCGUAGGUGGCUGCGUAAGUCGGGUGUGAAAUCCCGGGGCUCAACCCCGGAACUGCACUCGAUACUGCGUGGCUUGAGUACUGGAGAGGAGAUUGGAAUUUACGGUGUAGCAGUGAAAUGCGUAGAUAUCGUAAGGAAGACCAGUGGCGAAGGCGGAUCUCUGGACAGUUACUGACACUGAGGCACGAAGGCCAGGGGAGCAAACGGG
rnacentral:rRNA from 1 species